CAGACCUCCUAGCAAGUGGUGGAACAAGUAUUCAGAUCCUUUGCUUCAGUAAAAGCACUAAUACCACGUGGUAAAAAUGUUCUUUUACAAUUUAAAG